AGAAUCAACGCUGGCGGCGUGCCUAACACAUGCAAGUCGAACGCGAAAGGGGCGCAAGCCCUGAGUAGAGUGGCAAACGGGUGAGUAACACGUGGGUGACCUGCCUUCGAGUGGGGGAUAACGUUCCGAAAGGAACGCUAAUACCGCAUGACAUCCUGCGUUUGGAGACGCGGACAUCAAAGCUGGGGAUCGCAAGACCUGGCGCUCGGAGAGGGGCCCGCGGCUGAUUAGCUAGUUGGUGUGGUAACGGCUCACCAAGGCUACGAUCAGUA
rnacentral:rRNA from 1 species